rnacentral:rRNA from 1 species
UACAGGGGGUGCAAACGUUGCUCGGAAUCAUUUGGGCGUAAAGCGCACGUAGGCGGUCUGUUAUGUCGGGAUGUGAAAGCCCUUGGCUUAACUGAGGAAGUGCAUCCGAAACUGGCAGGCUAGAGUACUAAAGAGGGUCGCGGAAUUCCCGGUGUAGAGGUGAAAUUCGUAGAUAUCGGGAGGAACACCGGUGGCGAAGGCGGCGACCUGGGUAGAUACUGACGCUGAGGUGCGAAAGCGUGGGGAGCAAACAGG